UUACAGGCGUGUACCACCACCCCAGGACACAUUGUUAUAAACUCCGUGUUGAAGCUGCUGGGCUGCUGGCACAGGAAAAGCCCACAGUGAGGUAGAUGUGACCCUGUAUGGGUUGAUGUCCCAGCUAUCGGGGCACUGUGGUACCUGGCAGGAGUCUCCACCAUGCACCUUGAGAAAGAUGAAGAAGUAUUACCUUUUCUCUCCUACAUCAGCAAACAAAAUGAUUGUGAUUCUAAGCCACUAAAUUUUGGGAUAAUGAGUUAUGUGGCAAAAGCUAAGGCCUACAAACUUGUACAGAUGUUUAUUUUUAUGCAUGGUUCCUGGAGUCAUUUGCAAUUCCAAGAUGCAAUGAGGCCCCAAGAGGACUUGAUAACGUUCUGUCUGCCAGAGGAUGGUUCAUUAGUUUCCUACCGAACAGAUCACUUAGCACAGAUUUCAGAGGGAGUUAGUAACAAUACCCCACCUGGAUGGAUCAUGCGCCCUUCUCAUCAUUAAGCAUCGUGUGGGCUCUAAGUAGCUGUAGAGAUCCUUGCAGGGGUUGAAGCACUCAGUUCAACUUUGGUACAUGACAAAAUGUUGCCAGGAGAGGCUUCAGCUGAGUCACAGCUUUCUAGCUCACUGCCUUCUCAGUGAAGCUAGGGCAGCAUGGUGGAUUGACAACUAGUAGUCAACCUAUA